rnacentral:piRNA from 1 species
UGCCACUGGCAAUCUCUGGGACUC